GAAAUGCGAUAAGUAAUGUGAAUUGCAGAAUUCAGUGAAUCAUCGAAUCUUUGAACGCACAUUGCGCCCGCCAGUAUUCUGGCGGGCAUGCCUGUUCGAGCGUCAUUUCAACCAUCAAGCCCCGGGCUUGUGUUGGGGACCUGCGGCUGCCGCAGGCCCUGAAAAGCAGUGGCGGGCUCGCUGUCACACCGAGCGUAGUAGCAUACAUCUCGCUCUGGGCGUGCUGCGGGUUCCGGCCGUUAAACCUCCUUCGUAACCCAAGGUUGACCUCGGAUCAGGUAGGAAGACCCGCUGAACUUAAGC
rnacentral:misc_RNA from 1 species